GGUGUCGUAGUCUAAUGGUCAUGAUAACUCGUUGUGGCCGAGUUUGUCCCGGUUCGAUUCCGGGCGAUGCCA
rnacentral:tRNA from 8 species